rnacentral:rRNA from 1 species
GACAGAGGUCCCGAGCGUUAGGCGGAAUCACUGGGCUUAAAGCGUGUGUAGGCGGAUGCCUAAGUACCUUGUGAAAUCCCACGGCUCACCCGUGGAACUGCUUAGUAUACUGGGUGUCUUGAGCCACUUAGGGGUUACCGGAACAAAUGGUGGAGCGGUGAAAUGCGUAGAUAUCAUUUGGAACGCCAAUGGUGAAAACAGGUAGCUGGGAGUGUGCUGACGCUGAGACACGAAAGCCAGGGGAGCAAACGGG